rnacentral:rRNA from 1 species
GACGAACGCUGGCGGCGUGCUUAACACAUGCAAGUCGAACGCGCCUGUCCUCUGGGUUUCUGGGGGGUGGGUGAGUGGCGAACGGGUGAGUAACACGUGAGUAACCUGCCCCCUUCUUCGGGAUAACGGUCUGAAAGGGCUGCUAAUACCGGAUAUUCACUGGUCUCCGCAUGGGGUCUGGUGGAAAGGUUUUUUUCUGGUGGGGGAUGGGCUCGCGGCCUAUCAGCUUGUUGGUGGGGUGAUGGCCCACCAAGGCUUUGACGGGUAGCCGGCCUGAGAGGGUGACCGGUCACAUUGGGACUGAGAUACGGCCCAGACUCCUACGGGAGGCAGCAGUGGGGAAUAUUGCACAAUGGGCGCAAGCCUGAUGCAGCGACGCCGCGUGAGGGAUGGAGGCCUUCGGGUUGUGAACCUCUUUCGCCCGUGGUCAAGCCGCGACGUGGGUCGUGGUGAGGGUAGUGGGUAAAGAAGCGCCGGCUAACUACGUG